AACGGAGCAGACAACCGGGAUGCCUCAGUAACGGCGAGUGAAGCGGCAAGAGCUCAAAUUUGAAAGCUGGCCCCUCCGGGGUCCGCGUUGUAAUUUGCAGAGGAUGCUUCGGGCUCAGCCCCCGUCUAAGUGCCCUGGAACGGGCCGUCGGAGAGGGUGAGAAUCCCGUCUGGGACGGGGUGCCUGGGUCCAUGUGAAGCUCCUUCGACGAGUCGAGUUGUUUGGGAAUGCAGCUCUAAAUGGGUGGUAAAUUUCAUCUAAAGCUAAAUACUGGCCGGAGACCGAUAGCGCACAAGUAGAGUGAUCGAAAGAUGAAAAGCACUUUGAAAAGAGAGUUAAACAGCACGUGAAAUUGUUGAAAGGGAAGCGCUUGCGAUCAGACUCGCCUGCGGGGUUCAGCCGGCAUUCGUGCCGGUGUACUUCCCCGUGGGCGGGCCAGCGUCGGUUCGGGUGGCCGGUCAAAGGCCCCGGGAAUGUGUCGCCCUCCGGGGCGUCUUAUAGCCCGGGGUGCCAUGCGGCCUACCUGGACCGAGGAACGCGCUUCGGCUCGGACGCUGGCGUAAUGGUCGUAAGCGACCCGUCUUGAAACACGGACCAAGGAGUCUAACAUCUACGCGAGUGUUUGGGUGGCAAACCCAUACGCGCAGUGAAAGCGAACGGAGGUGGGAACCCUUCGGGGCGCACCAUCGACCGAUCCUGAUGUCUUCGGAUGGAUUUGAGUAAGAGCGUAGCUGUGGGGACCCGAAAGAUGGUGAACUAUGCCUGAAUAGGGCGAAGCCAGAGGAAACUCUGGUGGAGGCUCGCAGCGGUUCUGACGUGCAAAUCGAUCGUCAAAUUUGGGUAUAGGGGCGAAAGACUAAUCGAACCAUCUGGUAGCUGGUUCCUGCCGAAGUCCCCCUCUCCAGGAUAAAAA
rnacentral:rRNA from 1 species